rnacentral:rRNA from 1 species
GACGAACGCUGGCGGCGCGCCUAACACAUGCAAGUCGAACGAGCGAGAGAGAGCUUGCUUUCUCGAGCGAGUGGCGAACGGGUGAGUAACGCGUGAGGAACCUGCCUCAAAGAGGGGGACAACAGUUGGAAACGACUGCUAAUACCGCAUAAGCCCACGGCUCGGCAUCGAGCAGAGGGAAAAGGAGCAAUCCGCUUUGAGAUGGCCUCGCGUCCGAUUAGCUAGUUGGUGAGGUAAUGGCCCACCAAGGCGACGAUCGGUAGCCGGACUGAGAGGUUGAACGGCCACAUUGGGACUGAGACACGGCCCAGACUCCUACGGGAGGCAGCAGUGGGGAAUAUUGCACAUUGGGGGAAACCCUGAUGCAGCGACGCCGCGUGGAGGAAGAAGGUCUUCGGAUUGUAAACUCCUGUUGUUGGGGAAGAUAAUGACGGUACCCAACAAGGAAGUGACGGCUAACUACGUGCCAGCAGCCGCGGUAAAACGUAGGUCACAAGCGUUGUCCGGAAUUACUGGGUGUAAAGGGAGCGCAGGCGGGAAGACAAGUUGGAAGUGAAAUCUAUGGGCUCAACCCAUAAACUGCUUUCAAAACUGUUUUUCUUGAGUAGUGCAGAGGUAGGCGGAAUUCCCGGUGUAGCGGUGGAAUGCGUAGAUAUCGGGAGGAACACCAGUGGCGAAGGCGGCCUACUGGGCACCAACUGACGCUGAGGCUCGAAAGUGUGGGUAGCAAACAGGAUUAGAUACCCUGGUAGUCCACACCGUAAACGAUGAUUACUAGGUGUUGGAGGAUUGACCCCUUCAGUGCCGCAGUUAACACAAUAAGUAAUCCACCUGGGGAGUACGACCGCAAGGUUGAAACUCAAAGGAAUUGACGGGGGCCCGCACAAGCAGUGGAGUAUGUGGUUUAAUUCGACGCAACGCGAAGAACCUUACCAAGUCUUGACAUCCCUUGCAAAAUCCUGGAGACAGGAGGGAGGUUAUCAAGGAGACAGGUGGUGCAUGGUUGUCGUCAGCUCGUGUCGUGAGAUGUUGGGUUAAGUCCCGCAACGAGCGCAACCCUUAUGGUCAGUUACUACGCAAGAGGACUCUGGCCAGACUGCCGUUGACAAAACGGAGGAAGGUGGGGAUGACGUCAAAUCAUCAUGCCCUUUAUGACUUGGGCUACACACGUACUACAAUGGCGUUAAACAAAGAGAAGCAAGACCGCGAGGUGGAGCAAAACUCAGAAACAACGUCCCAGUUCGGACUGCAGGCUGCAACUCGCCUGCACGAAGUCGGAAUUGCUAGUAAUCGUGGAUCAGCAUGCCACGGUGAAUACGUUCCCGGGCCU